GAUGAACGCUGGCGGCGUGCCUAAUACAUGCAAGUCGAGCGAACAGACGAGGAGCUUGCUCCUCUGACGUUAGCGGCGGACGGGUGAGUAACACGUGGAUAACCUACCUAUAAGACUGGGAUAACUUCGGGAAACCGGAGCUAAUACCGGAUAAUAUAUUGAACCGCAUGGUUCAAUAGUUAAAGACGGUUUUGCUGUCACUUAUAGAUGGAUCCGCUCCGCAUUAGCUAGUUGGUAAGGUAACGGCUUACCAAGGCAACGAUGCGUAGCCGACCUGAGAGGGUGAUCGGCCACACUGGAACUGAGACACGGUCCAGACUCCUACGGGAGGCAGCAGUAGGGAAUCUUCCGCAAUGGGCGAAAGCCUGACGGAGCAACGCCGCGUGAGUGAUGAAGGUCUUCGGAUCGUAAAACUCUGUUAUUAGGGAAGAACAAAUGUGUAAGUAAAUAUGCACGUCUUGACGGUACCUAAUCAGAAAGCCACGGCUAACUACGUG
rnacentral:rRNA from 1 species